GAGUUUGAUCGUGGCUCAGGACGAACGCUGGCGGCGCGCUUAACACAUGCAAGUCGAGCGAGAACCAGACCUUCGGGUCUGGGAAAGCGGCGAACAGGUGAGUAACACGUGGGUAACCCACCCUUGGUACCGGGAUAGCCCGAGGAAACUCGGAUUAAUACCGGAUGGCCCAACAGCUCUUCGGGGCGGUUGGAAAAGGUAGCUUCGGCCUCCGACCAAGGACGGGCCCGCGGCGGAUUAGCUUGUUGGUGAGGUAACGGCUCACCAAGGCUUCGAUCCGUAGCUGGUCUGAGAGGACGAUCAGCCACACUGGGACUGAGACACGGCCCAGACUCCUACGGGAGGCAGCAGUGGGGAAUCUUGCGCAAUGGGGCGAAAGCCUGACGCAGCGACGCCGCGUGGGGGGAAGAAGGCUUUCGGGUUGUAAACCCCUUUCAGGAAGGACGAAGCCACUCAGGUUAAUAGCCGAGAGGGUGACGGUACUUCCAGAAGAACGCCCCGGACUAACUACGUGCCAGCAGCCG
rnacentral:rRNA from 1 species